UAAUACGUAGGGUCCAAGCGUUAUCCGGAAUUACUGGGCGUAAAGAGUCUGUAGGCUGCGACUUGCGUGAGAUGUGAAAUCCUAUGGCUCAACCAUAUGGACUGUAUCUCAUACGGGGUCGCUAGAGGACGGCAGAGGCAAGUGGAACUGGCGGUGUAGGGGUGAAAUCCGUAGAUAUCGCCAAGAACACCAAUGGCGAAGGCAGCUUGCUGGGCCGUCCCUGACGCUGAGAGACGAAAGCGUGGGGAGCGAACAGGAUUAGAUACCCUGGUAGUCCACGCCGUAAACGAUGGAUGCUAUCAGUUUGGAGUAUCGACCCUCUGGGCUGAGAAGCUAACGCGUUAAGCAUCCCGCCUGGGGAGUACGAGCGCAAGCUUA
rnacentral:rRNA from 1 species